AACACAGGAUGCCCAGUUAAAUGGGAAUUUUACACAAUAACAAAUUGUUUCAGUAUAAGCGUGCCCCAUGCCAUAUUUGGGACAUGCUUAUGCCAAAACUAUCAUUUAUUGUUUAUCUGAAAUUAAAAUUUAACUUGGCAUCCUGUAUUUU
rnacentral:miRNA from 1 species